rnacentral:rRNA from 1 species
UACGAAGGGGGCUAGCGUUGCUCGGAAUCACUGGGCGUAAAGGUGCGUAGGCGGGUCUUUAAGUCAGGGGUGAAAUCCUGGAGCUCAACUCCAGAACUGCCUUUGAUACUGAAGAUCUUGAGUUCGGGAGAGGUGAGUGGAACUGCGAGUGUAGAGGUGAAAUGCGUAGAUAUCGUAAGGAAGACCAGUGGCGAAGGCGAGUCUCUGGACAGUUCCUGACGCUGAGACGCGAAAGCGUGGGGAGCGAACAGG